GUUUCAUAUAAAAUAAUAUGUAAAUUUAAUAUGGUUCAGUUUUUAUGAUAUUUUUUUCAUCCAAAUUCAGUCUAAAAGACAUAUUUGUUGUUACUUUUCUAGUUUUAGAGAUGGAGGCUUUAGAACAAGUUCCAAAAUUUUAAACUUUUCCAUGAACUCUCUGUUAUUUCAAUUUAAAAUUAGUUUCUUGUCUUUUAAACUGUGAGUAAAAUCCUCCCUUUUUAUGCCACACAUAAAAUAUAAUCUUGGCUAAGUUAACUGGUUCAUGCAUCUUUCCCAAAUUAAGUUGUAAGUUGUUCACUAUGAAGUAGUGUUCACAUCAACAUGAAACUUGGUAGUAAAGUUCAUCAUGAUGCAGGCUUUGUAUGUAUGCCAAAUUAGGGGUUUGACCCAGAUUCAGUGGUUCAAAAAAUAUGCAAAUUUUACAGUAGAAGCAUGACAUGUUACCCUAUGGACAUGUAAAGCUAAUUUCUAAUUUAUGUGCUUCAAGAAAAGUUGCUUUUUUGAGAGUACCUCAUUUCUUGGUUUUAUUACUUUGCUCCUUUCAAAGUUUAUUAAAAAUGGUAUCCAUGAUAGUUAUUGAAUCCAC
rnacentral:lncRNA from 1 species